rnacentral:rRNA from 1 species
AUGAAAGGGAUGCAAGCCAUUAGUGCAACUCUUUUCAUGUCAUUUCUAGUUCUGGUGACCAGAGGAAAAGAUGUGCAAUACAGAAGGCAACAGGAAGACAAUACCCAGAUUCUCACUUAUCACCGAGUCAAUAAAACCAUUGUGAUGAAAGAUGGAGAUGUCUAUGACUGCAUUGAUGUGAAUGAGCAACCGACUUUCAGGCACCCAUUAUUGAAAGACCACAAAGUCCAGAUGCAACCAAAUCAUUUCCCUGUUUGGAUGGAUAUCCAAACAUUGCCUUCAGAUGAACCAUCUAUCAUUGAGUGCCCAACGGGAACAAUUCCAAUACUGCGUACUAAUGGAAGUGGCACCAUAGCAGCACAUAGUUACGAUGGGCAAUUGGAGUCAGCGGGACUCAUAUAUCAGGGUGAUGUAUAUGGGGUGCGUGGUGUAUUAAAUGUUUGGGAGCCAAAGGUGAAUAAAUAUAGUAAGGAUUCAAGUGCAAUGUGUGUAGAAAUGAAAAGUGGAGGAGAACAACACACUGACAGGAUUGGUGCUGGUGUUCGGGUCUUUCCAACAUUGAGUGGCGAUACUUUUGUUAGAUUUCAUAUUUCUUGGGUAAUGCUUAAUUUUAUUCAGGACCCUGUGUCAAAGAACUGGUGGUUGACUUAUGAGCAUGUAGCAAUUGGAUAUUGGCCAAGUGCAUUAUUCGAAUUCCUUAGGAACAAAAGUGACGCAGCAUUCUGGGGUGGGAUUGUUGAGGGGCCGACUGCCUCGUCGAACUCUCCGCGAAUGGGCAGUGGACAUUUUGCUUCCGAGGGAUACGGAGGAGCGGCUUUCGUAAAAAAUACCCAGAUUGCGAAUAAUAAGAAGGGAUAUUUUGACACUCCAGAUAAGUAUCAAGUGCGUCCUGAAUCAAGCGAUAAAUCCAAAUAUACCGUGGAAAGAUUUGAAUAUAGUAAAUAUGUAGGUAUGCGUAUCUUCUAUGGUGGAUUAGGGUCUUAUAAGGCCUACUGA